rnacentral:misc_RNA from 1 species
UCUAAAACGUUCAGUUCUUCGCGCGCCAACUUAGCGAAACUGUCUGUCAAUUGACAGUCGGGAAAAAGACGCAUUUUCCGAAGUUUUUCCGAUGAUUUUCCGAGUUUUCUUUGCGAUGAACUGCGGAAAUGAACGCGGGAUGGUUGGAAACUGAAUAAAAGUGUGGAGUUUUUGGUUGACAACAAUUGUUAUAUUCGUCUAGAAGACUGACUAAAGUUUUUUGAAUUGAUGCCAGGGUACAAGUCAAGAUGAACCUGUCCACGUACAAUGAAAACCUUUCUGUAAAUUAUUCACAGAAUACCAGCCUAUCACCGUUUAGUCCAAAUUAUACGUUAGAAGACAGGAUCCAAUUUAUUUUGCCAGUAUGGCGACAGAUUUUAUGGAGCAUUCUGUACGCUGGAAUGGUCAUCGUGGCUACGGGGGGCAACCUAAUAGUAAUAUGGAUAGUCCUAGCCCACAAAAGAAUGAGAACGGUGACAAACUAUUUUUUACUAAAUCUGUCAGUAGCUGACACCAUGGUCUCUACACUGAACGUCACAUUCAACUACGUGUACAUGCUGUAUUCCUAUUGGCCGUUUGGGGAGCUCUACUGCAAAAUCAGCCAAUUCAUUGCGGUGUUGUCGGUUUGUGCCAGUGUGUUUUCCUUGAUGUCUAUAUCUAUUGAUAGAUAUAUGGCUAUCAUGACACCUCUGAAACCACGAAUGGGUAGAAUGGUAACACUGAUCCUAGCUUUGCUGACGUGGAUCUUGGGAAUCAUCAUAGGUAUGCCGUCCUUGCUGUUUUACAAGACUUACCGAACGACUUACUCCAAUGGAGAAGACCGGAUAGUAUGUUAUCCAGAAUGGCCAGAUGGAUACAGCAGUGAGAGCGUCUACGAAUACUAUUUUAAUGUGGCCUUUCUGGUGGUGACUUAUUUGGUUCCUAUUCUAUCCAUGACCUACACAUAUGCCAGAAUAGGAAUCGAGCUGUGGGGUUCACAGAGCAUAGGAGAAUGCACUCAGAGGCAGAUGGAUAAUAUAAAGAGCAAAAGAAGGGUAGUAAAGAUGAUGAUGGUUGUUGUCAUCAUUUUCGCUGUGUGCUGGUUGCCAUAUCAACUCUAUUUCAUAGUAAUUUCGUAUUUUCCUGACAUCACACAGUCGGAGUAUAUCCAGGAAACCUUCCUGGCUAUUUAUUGGCUGGCAAUGAGUAAUUCCAUGUACAAUCCAAUCAUUUACUGUUGGAUGAAUGCUAGAUUUAGAAGAGGUUUCAAACAGUUUUUCUCAUGUCUGCCAUUUGUUCACGUGAGCCCUGGUGCUCUAACCAGAAGAGAAGUGCUUACAAGUAAAAGGAGAUCAUACUCUGGCAGUCCGGAUCAUAACAGGAUAGUCAGAAACGGAACAGUAAGGAUGUCUUUCACCCCGUACACCGCCAUGGGCACCAGACCCUCCCCCUCCUCCUCUACAAACACCUGUUACAGUCACGUUCCUGAUGACGCAACCGGAAGACGCUGCGAACUGAGGCAAUUCUCCUGACGCAGAGCCAACUCUGGGACCAAACAGCAACCGGAAAUGGCACCCGCGGGCAACGGCAACAACGCCAACUCCACUGCGGGGGGUUCCCAGAGACGCACCUGGAUCUAGGGAGGGGGAUCCUCACGGAAACUCUCCCUGAGACCCCGUGAGGAUGAUAUUGUCGAAGAAGAAAGCAAAUUGUAGACGGAAAAACACGUUUUUUUGCUUUAAUUCGCGUUUGUUUUGGUUCUGGAUCGUAUAAACUAACUUGGAUAUAUCAGUUUUAUAGUAAUUGUACGUUGAAGCGUGUUAAGAGAUCACAAGAACAUUAAAAAUUGAGCGCGUAGUUUAUAUCGCAGAAGAAAGCAAAUUGUAGAUGAAAAAACACGUUUCUAAGCUCUAAUUCCUGCUUGUUUUGAUUCUGGAUCAUAUAAACUAACUUGGAUACGCCUGUUUUAUAGUAAUUUUGCUCUAAUUCUACGUUAAAAUAUCUUAAAAAGUCUUAACAAGCAUUUAAUUUGAUUUAAAAUUACGCGCGUAAUUUUUAACGCGAAAUAAGUUGGCAGUACUUGACAUCUCAGGGUCGACGAAUUUUGUUUUUGAAAAAUGGCGAGUUUAAACAUAGUUUGAAAAAGUUUAUAAGUUUUUUCUUUGUAAUCGUUAUAAACUUUAAGUUUAUUGUAUUAAAAGUGUAUCAAGAUAUUAGUACAUGUUUACUAUGGACACAGAAUAUGAUUUUUCAUGCGGAAACUGGAAAUAUUUCAUAAAAUUAUGGAUGAAUAAGAAUCUCAAUAUGCCCCCCAGGAAGGUACACAUUUUAAUAAGCGUUAGUUAAUUGUUUAAUUAUAGGUAUUUCAUGAUGUUUGUAGCUCUUUUACGUUUCUAGAGGUCAUAUAAGAAGAAUUAUCUAAGAAAGUAUGGAAGUUUACAUUAAAAUUUUAAUUAAAAGAUUUUUAAAUGAAUCCCAAUAUAAUACGUAAACAUGGUUUCCUAAAUCAGAGAUUCUGUGCUAUUAAACAAAUGAAGUCGUUAAAAAUGUCGAAGCUUGAAAGCCUUUUGAACAUGAUUUUUAGAAAAUUGUUCUAGAGAUAUAAAUAUACCUAAAUAAUGGAAUGACUUGAACAAGUUUCCAAUGCACUAUGGUUUAGUCUGUUGAAAAUUCUGUAAUUUCAAAAUGGAGUCCUUCAAGAUCUCUUGCUCAGUAAUGUGAAAAUUCUAUCAGAAAAAAUAAAUACAUUAUGAAAUGAAGGUACCUGAAAUUCUUUUUUAGUUAAUUGCUUUAUUUUUUUUAUUUGCAAAGAUAUUGGGCCUAUAUUUAUGACAAAAUAUUCGAAUACAAUUUUUUUGAGAAACCAUAUUUAUCUCUAAGACAUUCUUUUUGGUUAAAAUUGGUAAAAAUAUGAAGAAACAUUUUUCAUUUUCUUUUAAAAUAGUGCUCUGGUGAUAAUGUGGUUUAGUUUGGUUUGUUAGUUAUCUUAAAACUGUGAAAAUUGAUAAGUAAAGUGAGUGUAAAAAUUUUUUGACAAGCUAAGAUCAAAGAAAAAAUACUUUAAACAUGAAGAUGAAUAAAAUAAAUAUUUCUGUGAUAUGUGGUAGUUAAUAGAUGUAUCCACAUCAGUUUAUACGAUUCAGAUUUCAAGAUAAAAGCCAUACGAAGCUUGUAAAUACAGAAUCCAUACAGGUCGAAAACUAAAUGUGUCCCUUUUAUGUUUAGAUGUAAAAAACUCUCUGUUUUUCUAGACGUAUGUGUGACCAGGGAAAAAUAAAACGCUUUCGACAUAUUGUAUCUUUAAAAAUAUACCGAGUUUUGGAAACAUAAAUACAUUGGCUAGCGAAGAAAAUAUAUUACUGUGUCCUAUUUCUCUAGCAGUAGAACCCAAAUACGAUGCUUCUAAUUGUACAAAAAUCUUCUACAAAAAUUAAAUGAAUCUCAUAUCAUAGUAUACUUGUAUAUCUCAAUGAUCAGACCAAUCAUAUGUGUGAUAAAAAUUUUCAUUCAAAUUAAUGCACAAGUUUUAAACAAAAAGAUACCUACUUAUAUAGCUUUAAAAAGAAAAUUUAAUGAAAAAAAACACACACACAGUAUAAAGCUACAUAGCGAAGAAAUUAUAUUGUAUAUACUGUAUAAAAUAUACUAUUAUUGUGUAUAUAUGUAUUUAUUAUUUAUAUUAGUGUACAGUAUGGUGCUCUCUAUAUACAUCAAAAAACGAAAAAUUCAUGGAAAAUGAUUAAAAUUUAGUGCUGAAAAUGAGUGGAAAAAAAAGAUGAAAUUUUAUCUUUAAGGCACAUCAAAGACUUAAAAUAAAUGUAUUACAGUGUAGAAGUAUAAGAAAACAAAAAUAAAUGUUUAUAAUAAUU